rnacentral:rRNA from 1 species
UGAUAUUCCUGUACUACCGAUAACCGUUUGAGAGAAGGGAUGACACAGUAGGAUAAGCUAAGCACACUGUUGGUUAUGUGUGCCCAAGCAUUGAGGCAGUCAAAGUAGGCAAAUCCGCUUUGAUAAUGCUGGGAUGUGAUGGGGAGCGAAAUUUAGUAGCGAAGUAGCUGAUUUCACACUGUCAAGAAAAGUCUCUAUCGAGGUUAAAGGUACCCGUACCGCAAACCGACACAGGUGGGUGAGGAGAGUAUCCUAAGGCCAGCGAGAGAACUGUUGUUAAGGAACUCGGCAAAAUGACCCCGUAACUUAGGGAUAAGGGGUGCCACCAUCAGGUGGCCGCAGAGAAUAGGCCCAAGCGACUGUUUACCAAAAACAUAGGUUUCUGCUAAGUCGCAAGACGAUGUAUAGGAGCUGACGCCUGCCCGGUGCUGGAAGGUUAAGGGGAUCUGUUAGAGCAAUCGAAGCAGUGAACUUAAGCCCCAGUAAACGGCGGCCGUAACUAUAACGGUCCUAAGGUAGCGAAAUUCCUUGUCGGGUAAGUUCCGACCCGCACGAAAGGCGUAACGAUUUGGGCACUGUCUCAACAACAGACUCGGUGAAAUUGUAAUUCCGGUGAAGAUGCCGGAUACCUGCGACAGGACGGAAAGACCCCAUGGAGCUUUACUGUAGCUUGACAUUGGGUCUUGGUACUACAUGUACAGGAUAGGUGGGAGGCUUUGAAACCAGGACG